GAUAGGGGAGCCUUACGGCUGAGAGGCAGCGCUCGCUGCGACCCUACGACCUGAACUAGGUAAUGCUAGCGGAGGGAAUCGGGUUA
rnacentral:ncRNA from 1 species